AAAUAAUCAAACCGACACAUUCAUGGCAGCGGAAUUGUGUUUAAUUGUUUGAAAAACUGGAGCAGAGACGAAGUGUGCUAGGAAAGGGUGGUCGGGCAUGCUGCUUAAGCUUCCAAGCAGCCAAAAGGGCGAAGUAUACAAGUCAGCAACGAAGAUUAGAAGGUUUAGAACCGGAUCCUUUGCUAAAUGGAAAUUGCAGCUGCUAAUUCAUAAGAAAUGUUGAUCCAGGAAGCUGCCAUCUUGGUGCUGCCUUUUCCACAAUUGUGGCUGCUUCCAGAAGCCGGGGGUGAGCGGUGCUGACAGCUAGCUGGCUGAGAGAGGGGAGAUGGCUUCAUGUUCUCUGUUCUGCAGGGAGCUUGGCCUCUGGCCCAUGCCUGGGGUUUACUUCUGCUUGGACUUGUGGCACUGCUGAGGGGCUGGGCACUUUGGGAUAGAGGGCUCCUUGCCCUUGGGUGGAGGUUGGCAAGGCUGCUUGCUGUGCUGAGGUGGAGUUUAGCAGUGUUUUGGUGGGGGGAAACAGUACUUUACUGGGGGGCAGCAUUGCCGCGGAGGGGGACAGUACUGCUGAGGUGGGGGACAGCAAUACUUUGGUGAGGGGCAGCAAUAUUUUGGUGGGGUGCAGCAUGGCUGGGAUGGAGGGCAGCAAUCCUUUGGUAGCGGGCAGCACAGCUUCUGCUUUGGAUGAUAC